rnacentral:rRNA from 1 species
UACAGAGGUCCCAAGCGUUGUUCGGAUUCACUGGGCUUAAAGGGUGCGUAGGCGGUCGGGUAAGUCUGAUGUGAAAUCUCACAGCUUAACUGUGAAACUGCAUUGGAUACUAUCCGGCUCGAGGAAUGGAGGGGAGACUGGAAUACUUGGUGUAGCAGUGAAAUGCGUAGAUAUCAAGUGGAACACCAGUGGCGAAGGCGAGUCUCUGGACAUUUCCUGACGCUGAGGCACGAAAGCCAGGGGAGCAAACGGG